rnacentral:rRNA from 1 species
GACAGAGGGUGCAAACGUUGUUCGGAUUUACUGGGCGUAAAGCGCGUGUAGGCGGCUUGGCAAGUCGGAUGUGAAAGCCCACGGCUCAACCGUGGAAGCGCAUCCGAAACGGCCUCGCUCGAGUCUCGGAGAGGAAGGUGGAAUGCUUGGUGUAGAGGUGAAAUUCGUAGAUAUCAAGCAGAACACCUGCGGCGAAGGCGGCCUUCUGGACGGAUGACUGACGCUGAGACGCGAAAGCGUGGGGAGCAAACAGG